rfam:Picea glauca, whole genome shotgun sequence.
ACAAUGGUGUCUUUAGACACCACCAUUGAUCUCAAAUCCGUUCUC